UACGUAGGUGGCAAGCGUUGUCCGGAUUUAUUGGGUUUAAAGGGUGCGUAGGCGGUAGCCUAAGUCAGCAGUGAAAUACGGCAGCUUAACUGUCGAGGUGCUGUUGAUACUGGGUUACUUGAGUACUGAUGAGGUAGGCGGAAUGGACGGUGUAGCGGUGAAAUGCUUAGAGAUCGUCCAGAACACCGAUAGCGAAGGCAGCUUACUAAGGAGUAACUGACGCUGAGGCACGAAAGUGUGGGGAUCAAACAGGAUUAG
rnacentral:rRNA from 1 species